rnacentral:rRNA from 1 species
UACGUAGGGUGCAAGCGUUAUCCGGAAUUAUUGGGCGUAAAGAGCUCGUAGGCGGUCUGUCGCGUCUGCUGUGAAAUCUGGGGGCUCAACCCCCAGCCUGCAGUGGGUACGGGCAGACUAGAGUGCGGUAGGGGAGAUUGGAAUUCCUGGUGUAGCGGUGGAAUGCGCAGAUAUCAGGAGGAACACCAAUGGCGAAGGCAGAUCUCUGGGCCGGUACUGACGCUGAGACGCGAAAGCGUGGGGAGCGAACAGG